rnacentral:lncRNA from 1 species
CACUUAGAGGUUUAUAAAUCCAACUUUUUCUUAGCUAAAACAUGGUUUUAGGUUCUCAAAUUUGUCGUGCAUCAACUUGUCCAACCAAUUACCAUUUCCAGAUCACAAUUAAAUUCAAACAACAAUCAUAAACCUCAAAGUUUCCAGGUUCAAACUCACGGUAGUUCACAAAAGUUUUCCAGCAAUUGUGUGUUCUUAUUACAACUUUUUCCUUGGCUAAAACAGAGUAUUAAGGUCUCAAAUUCAACAUGCCAUCACUUAACUAGUUUGUUAACAUUUCUAGCUCAGGAAUUAAAUUCAAUUAACAACGAAAAUCAUCCAAGAUUUCCAGAAAUCUUCCAACAAGCCACGGAUGAUCAUGCAUGUAGCAGAUUUCUAUCUCAUUUUAUUUUUCUGGUUUAAACCCAUUAAUUAACUACAUGCAAGGCUCAAUUAUCUUGUUAUUAUCUAAUUAGUUAUGGUUAUAAGCUUAAAGCAACAAGAUUAAACCAAAUGAAGCUACAUUAUUCAAGACAACUCUCGUCAGAAAUUUUCCAUCGAAACAGAAUUUCCUAAGCUCCUUAAUUCAUCAUUCAACUACAUAAAAUUAUCAUGCAAGGCCCUAAUCAUAAUAAUCAUCCAAGUUCCAGUUAGUUAAACACCACUGCAUGCUCAAAUUAUUUCAGGACAACAACAUUAAAGCUGCAUUAUCAAAUUAAUUCCCGGAAGUUCUGAUUUCUCAUGCGCAUCAGAAUUUCUUCUUCUAAAUCACUUGUCCGAAUGCUUGAAACCCACAUGUAAGGUCCUAACCAUAUUAAUCAUCCAAGCUUUAGUUAACUAAUCAUAAUUACAAUUCCAGAUUAUCACAGGAAAGCAGAUUUAAUCCAACAUUUCUUAAUCGAUUCUCGGAAAUCCAGAUUCAGCGCACAUCAGAUUUGUCUUUUCCUAGAUUCAUCAUUCAUCACCUAAGUUUCACAUGCAGGGCCCUAGGUAGCUUAAUCUACCCUUGAUCAGUUAGCUUUAGUCCAGAAAUUACCUCACCGAUAACUCACUCGAGUGACAAGAGAGCUGGAAAUUUUCUCUCGGCUUCACGCACGCGACAGUGGUUGUGGUUGUCGGUGGAGCUGGUGGUGUUACAGUCGUGAAGUUGGGUGCAAAUGGAGGUGCAGAAUGUGUGGACUUGCUCACGGUUUCUCCCUGCCUUUACUCCAGCUCACGGACAGACCAGAAACAUUCAACCGGCGGUUUCUUUUCUUCCUCUCGGCUGCAGAGUGCAGCUCGGCCUCUCUCUCUCUCUCUCCGUUUGUAGAGUGCGGCUCUCCCUCACUCUCUCCCUUUGCCGACAAUAGCAAGGCAGAGUAGAAUUGCAGUGAUG